rnacentral:rRNA from 1 species
CCAAUAGCGUAUAUUAAAGUUGUUGCAGUUAAAAAGCUCGUAGUUGAAUUUCGGGAUCAAUAUGUCGGUCGUGCCUUCGGUACGUACUGGUAUCAUUGGUCUCUCCUUUCUGACGAACCAUGAUGUCAUAAAUUUGGUGUUAUGGGGAGUUAGGACUGUUACUUUGAAAAAAUUAGAGUGUUUAAAGCAGGCUUUAGCUUGAAUACAUUAGCAUGGAAUAAUGAAAUAGGACGUUCGAACCUAUUUUGUUGGUUUCUAGGAUCAACGUAAUGAUUAAUAGGGAUAGUUGGGGGCAUUAGUAUUCAAUUGUCAGAGGUGAAAUUCUUGGAUUUAUUGAAGACUAACUACUGCGAAAGCAUUUGCCAAGGAUGUUUUCAUUAAUCAAGAACGAAAGUUAGGGGAUCGAAGACGAUCAGAUACCGUCGUAGUCUUAACCAUAAACUAUGCCGACUAGGGAUCGGAUGAUGUUAAUUUUUUAAUGACUCAUUCGGCGCCUUACG